AUUGAACGCUGGCGGCGUGCUUAACACAUGCAAGUCGAUCGGUAACGCGGGGGCAACCCUGGCGACGAGAGGCGGACGGGUGAGGAACGCUUGGGAAUCUGCCCUUCAGCGGGGGACAACACGGGGAAACUCGUGCUAAUACCGCAUACGCUCCACGGAGGAAAGCCGGGGACCGCAAGGCCUGGCACUGAAGGCUGAGCCCAAGUCGGAUUAGCUAGUUGGCGGGGUAACGGCCCACCAAGGCGACGAUCCGUAGCUGGUCUGAGAGGACGAUCAGCCACACUGGGACUGAGACACGGCCCAGACUCCUACGGGAGGCAGCAGUGGGGAAUAUUGGACAAUGGGGGAAACCCUGAUCCAGCGACGCCGCGUGGGUGAAGAAGGCCUGCGGGUUGUAAAGCCCUUUCGGUAGGGACGAAAGCUCUCGACCUAACACGUCGGGAGGUUGACUUAACCUACAAAAGAAGCACCGGCUAACUCUGUGCCAGCCGCCGCCGUAAAAC
rnacentral:rRNA from 1 species